CUCAACUGUUUAAUUCGAUGAUCCACGAAAAACCUUACCACAAUAUGUAUAUUUAUACAGAUGUUGCACGGCUGUUUUCAGUUAAUGUUGUGAAAUAAUGGUUAAAUCCAUGAAAUUAACGGAAGCCCUUGCUCUAUUUAUAAAUUUAAUUUUUAUAGAGCCGUUUCGCCAUAAUAGCGGUUAAUGAUAAAAGGGACUAAGACAAGUCAUCAUGGCUUUUACAUUGUGGGCUAUAGACGUGCCACAUUUUCCUAAAACAAAGAGAUGCAAAAAUGCGAAUUUAAGCUAAUCUCAAAAAUAGGAUAAAAAGAAUAUGGAUUGUAGUCUGAAACUCGGCUACAUGAAUAAGUAAUUACUAGUAAUCGUGAAUCACCAUGUCACGGUGAAUCCAG
rnacentral:ncRNA from 1 species